rnacentral:lncRNA from 1 species
CCUGUGAUCGACUACGUCGACGACGACCCUUCUUCUGUUUCAGCGGAGCUUCCAGGCAAGCCCCCCUAUGAUCAUCCCGAUAUCGCCCAUUCUAUACUCUCAUGCUUGCAUUAGAUUUUGCUACUGAUAUUGUUUGCUCCUAUUCUAAUGCAUAGCCUGCUUUUGUACCUUCUUAUUGUUACCUACCUGUUUAUCCUAAACUGCUUAGUAUAGAUUGGUUAGUGAUCCAUCAGUGACCCCCACUUGUCCUUGUUGCCCCUGCUUCAUCAUCGACGCCUCGAUCAGCGUGAUCGACGACGAGAGCCUGACACCUCACAUCACAUCACGCCCUUUUAGUUGCUCGACUCUGCAGAGCUACUAUUGAGUGCCGAGGGUGAUCCCUCUUAAACGCACUCCUAAUGAUAAUUCUGUAGUGUAGCUAUUCGGUGUGGUCAUCGAGGGUGGUUCCUCUUUCACCAUUUUCGAUACGACUCUGUCGUGCAACACCUCAAGUGUGAACCUCGAGGGUGGUUCCUCUUACGUUCACCUUGAUGAUUACAUCGAGUGGAAUCCUCCGAGGGUGAUUCCUUGGGUUUUCCCCUUGAUGUCUGGAUGCACAGUUACCUUGACUUUACUAGAGACCAUUGUGAAAGUCGGGCGGGCCCGGGGAGCACCCGUGCGAUGUGACAGUGGCGGCUGGCUGUUUAGCGGUAUCACCCGGGAGGGGGUGAUAGCUCCGGACUUGUCCCGACAGCCGUCACUCCUUUUAAUAAUGCACUAACAUGUUUGGGUAUUUGUUCUGAGUUGGCCUCUGGCCUUUAGGCACCAACCACCACGCGAGAAUAGUUAUGGGCCUCGACGUCGCAGUAUCAGCCGAAGCUUUGUCAGACGUCCAGUUCAGCAUUGAGGCACGGCCCGGUCGGCGCCCCAGUGGAGGUGGCCUGUAUCGCCCUGCACGUAACGACCCGGAGUGCACCGGGCGAUGGGCCCAGACCCCGGAGUUCUUAGGAUGUAGACCGGCGGGGACCUCUCUGCUGAGUCUAGGUCGGGCUGCGACGUGUUGAUCUUCCGAGGCUGGGCAUGACCCAGGAAAGUGUGUCCGGCCAGAGUGAUCGAGCGUGUUGGAAAACGUGGUGCACCCCUGCAGGGAAGAUUAUCUAUUAAUAGCCGUGUCCACGGUAACGGACGUUCAGACGUAUAUCCUGAUCUUAUACAACUAGAAAUGGAUACUUGAUAUAUGAUGGAUAUGUGGCUCCGGGAUUGCUUUCUCGCAAGGAGUCGAGGAAGGAUCUCUGGGCCUUAAUGUUACAACAUGCUUGUUAAUUAAACUGCUAUUCUUUACUCUUCUACAUGCUGCAAGAUGCUUGGAGUUGCUUGAAGAUGCUAGUCUUCAAUAGGCUAGGCCUUCCCCCCUUAUUCUGGCAUUCUGCAGUUCAGUCCACAGAUACAGCCCUUCCAUUUGAUACCAAUGCAUACUUAGUGUAGAUCUGAUGCUUGCGAGUACUUUGGAUGAGUACUCACGGUUGCUUUGUUCCCCCUUUUCCCCCUUCCUUCUCCUUUCCGGUUGAUGCAACCAGAUGGUGGCCCCCAGGAGUUAGAUGCCACCCCUGCCAACUACGACUACUACCCUGAGGGUGCCUACUACUACGUGGAGCCCACCGACGACCAGGAGUAGUUAGGAGGUCCCAGGCAGGAGGCCUUGCCUCUUCGAUCGUUGAUGUUUGUGCUAGCCUUCUUAAGGCAAAACUUGUUUAACUUAUGUCUGUACUCAGAUAUUGUUGCUUCCGCUGACUCUUGUGCUUUCGAGCUAUGUAUUCGAGCCCUCGAGGCCCCUGGCUUGUAAUAUGAAGCUUGUAUGACUUUCAUUUGUGUCUAGAGUUGUGUUGUGAUAUCUUCCCGUGAGUCCCUGAUCUUGAUCGUACACGUUUGCGUGUAUGAUUAGUGUACGGUCGAAUCGGGGGCGUCACAAGUUGGUAUCAGAGCCGACUGCCUGUAGGAAUCCCCCUUUCCAGCUCCUUGGCCGAAGUUGAGUCUAGUCUUUGAAAGAACUGUUUUACUAACAUGGCUGUGUGGCUUACGGGCCCACGUCGCCAAUGGGUGGUAUUAGGAUCUUUUACUCCUCGUCUAUACUCUGGGACUCUGACCUCUCUUCUACUCGGGUUAAAUGAUUUUACUAACCCCAACAUUAGGAUCUCGUAAUCAUAUUCACACGGAGAGCUGGAUUAUCUACAACUAUUCCCUUGAAUUGUAUUUUGAAUAAUACUCACAUCAUCAUUUGACAUCCUUGAACUUCCUUAUAUCAGAUGCGUCCCGCAACACAGAUCGUCCGCCAGACUAUGGCGGUCGACACGCCUGGGUUCCCGGCCAUUCUGGUCGACCUCUUGACCCUGCUGGGAUAUCGCUGGUAUCCUCAGUACACUGUGUACGAGAUCUACCGCGAGUUCAACCAGGAGAUGUAUCACGCUAAGGUUGAUAUCUAUGAUCGGCAGAACAACUCCACCCACGAUUUGCAUACCUUUGAGGGUAUUGGAGUGACUGUCGAGAUGGCAGUACAGGAGGUUGCCUAUGUUGCUAUCACCAGCCUCCGUAGAGAGCAUCCACGCUUGGAGGAGACUGGGUUUAGAUACUUUCUGUACCCACCAGCUGGGGAUGAUACUAGGUGGUACACUGCUGUGUGUACCCCCUACGUGAGCCGUCGGUACGACCCUCAGUAUAUGGUUUGAUACAUUGAGGUUCUGGAUCGCACUGUUCGAGCUCUGACUGUUGAGUUGUACGCCACGCAUGCGCGCCACAACGACACUCUGGAGCGGAUGCGUCCACUGGGUACGGCAGCGGUUCUUCCUUCGUUCAUUCCUUACCCGCGCAGGACGGAGAUGCCACCAGGUCUUGUGUGGCCUGAGGUUGGGGGUGAUACUCCUGCUCGUGGACCUCCUCUUCCGCCUGGAGAUCAGCUGGUACACCAGAGCCGCCACGGCAUGCAGCCUCCUUCCCUCGAGCACCGCCAGGCUUUUCUUCAUCGACAGCUGCCAGACUUCAGAGGUUUUCCCCGACGUUGAUGUAGCAUAUCGCUAUGUCGCGUUGUUGUAUCCCUCCACCACGUGCCUGUGCGCCGCCUAGUUGGUCUAGACUACCUUUCCUUUUUGAACUACUACUUAUGGCUUGUAACCGAACUUAUGUAUGGAUCUGUAUGUCGUGUUUGGCUACUAUGUAGUAUCUAUCGAACUUCUUUCAGUAUGCAUGUUUCGUCGUGAAUGGAUCAUUAUCUUUGCAAAUUUCUUCAUGCUGAACUACCCAUGUUACAUGUUAGCAGGAUGGUUAGACCCGCUGGUCGUGGUCGUGGUGGCAACGCCCCACCACCGUCUGAAUACAUGGCUGGUAUGAUCCAACAGUUUGAGCUGAACCGCCAAUUCAUGGAAGGAGUGAUAGCUCAGUUUCCUCGCCCCAACUUGAACCAGCAGCCAGCAACUGUGACACUGAACGACUUUGCACAUCUCAACACAAGCAUCUACUGCAGCUCAACUCAGCCACUUGAUGCUGACGACUAGCUACGUGACAUCACUUUUGAGCUAGAGUCUGCUGGUGUAGCCCCUGCCAGCUAUGUCACCUUUGCGGCAUAUUAUCUGAAGGGUCCCGCUGCUCAAUGGUGGGACAACCACAGACGCUCUUUACCCGCUGGAACGGUCAUCACUUGGCCAGAUUUCCAAGCUGCUUUCCAUGCCCGCUUCAUUCCUCAAGGAACUAUGGACAGGAAGAAGCGCGAGUUCCGCAACCUCACCCAAGGUAACAAGACUGUGGAUGCUUAUCAGCGGGAGUUCCUUGACCUGUCCCGCUAUGCUGAAGAUGACAUUGCCACUGAUGCAUGUAAACAAGAAAAGUUUCGUGAUGGACUUCAAGCUGAUAUCAAACUAGCGCUCCUCAUGCAUGACUUUGCUGAUUUCGCCACCUUGGCGAACAAGGCCAUUCAGGUCGAAACUGGUCUGCAGGAGCACCUCGGAUCCCUCAGGCGCAACCGUGAUGCGGGUUCAUCUUCGGGCCCGUCAUCGCAGAAGCGUAAGAUAUGGAUCCCCCACAGCAUGUAUCCACCAGCUGCCCCUGCACCAAGACAGACCCAUGCUGCACCUCGUCUUCCUCCUCCACCACCUGGACAGCCGAGACUUCAAGCUCCUGCUUCCCGUCCCAAUGAUGGGCUAUGCUUCAAGUGUGGUCAACCAGGACACUGUGCCAGGGACUGCUCUCAGAAUCAGUACCGGCUUGCACUUCCUCAAACUAGCCGUGGUAACAAUCAGCCCCGCAACAACAAUGUCAGGCCUUAUGGUCGUGGUCAAGCCAACCACAUUGAUCUGAAUGAAGCUCAAGACCAGCCUGCUACGGUGUUGGGUACUCUUCUUGUUAACUCAGUACCAGCUUCUGUUUUAUUCGAUCCAGGAGCAUCGCAUUCUUUCAUUUCUGAAGAUUUUGCAUCCAUGCAUGGCCUUAAAUUCGCAGUAAUGAACAACCCGCUAGUGGUACACACCCCCGCGGGCCAAUGUCGGACCACCAUGGUUAGCCUCAAUGUCCCUGUUGAAAUUGAAGGGCUGGAAUUCCAUGUUUCCCCCAUUGUUUUGAAGUCGUCCAAUAUCGACCUCAUUCUAGGAAUGGAAUGGUUGAAAACACAUACCGCUUCUAUCAUUUGCACCACUAAAACCGUGCAUCUACUAAGUGAGAUAGUGAGCUACCAUGCUCACCUUGUUCGGAAUGCCGAGGCACGGAUUUAUUCCUUGGAUGCGUGAAAAACACUACCUCGAAGCCUGAAGUAUCUGUCCGGUCCGCGUUCUCAGUCAAGCUGAACGUCGCACCGUCAGAGGGCUUUCAAAAUUCUAAAAGGGUUCAGUGGUCAAAUCCUUCUGAAGAUGAAGCCACCUGGGAACUCGAGGAUCGUCUUCGAGCUAAAUACCCCGUUUUGUUUCCUUCUACCUCCUAAAUCUCGGGACGAGAUUUCUUGUAGUGGAGGAGAUUUGUAACGCCCGGAUAAUUAAGCUACAGUAAUUCCAUGCUAAUGAUACCAUGUCAUCACUUUUACUAUUGCUAGGUCCCACGUUGGUUCAAACCAAUUCAAAUUUCAAAUUUAAAAUAAAGUCAAACAACGAAAGUUUUUCAAAUGUCAAAAAUAAAAUGUUCAAAGUGUGGUAAAUAUUCCAUAACCAAUUAUGGUGCUAACCCAACAUUUUUGUAAAAAUACUUAAAUGCUCUUUGUGAUUAAGACAGUGAUAAUCAUAUUUAAUUAAAUGCCUUUCCUAAGAUAAAAAUUAGCAAACUAUUUUUAUUUGGGAGUUGAACUUUUUGUGGCUGAGGGUUAAACUAAAACAUUAAUUUAGAUGUUGGUCUCAUAUUUUAUAAAACUACAAUAUGCUACUAGUAAAUAAAACAGUAAAGGAGAAAUAAAAAAAUAAAGAAAAACACACACACAAAAAAAAAAAACGGGCAAACUCCCGUGCCUCCCUCUGGGCCUUGGGCCAACUAGCCCCUAGCCAGCCCACCAGCGCACUGCCUCCCCCCUUCCUGUUCACGGGGGGAUCGUGAGCAGCACCGAUGCCCGCCACGGCAUCGACCAUCGCCGUGGCGGCCAUCUGCCGUCUCCCCGGGGCUAUAAGGCGGCCCCGACACCUCUCCCUCGCGCCCCCGAACCCUAGCUACCCCGUUCCCCUCCCCCUGGUCUUCAUCGUUCAGAUCCGCCCGCGAUUUCCACCGCCCGCCAUGGCCGACCUCGUCCUCGUGCCCACCGAGCUCUCCGGCACCUGAGACCUCGUCCAUCUUCUCCCUCAUCGUCCACCACUUCGUCUACGUCCACGAAUCGAGCUGGAACGCGCCGAGUCGAGCGGAACGAGAUCUUCUUCCACUCCGGCCACCGCGGCGCCAUCGUCGAUUCCGGCGCCCUCUGCUGCUCCUAAACCUCACAACGAGCCUCCUUGUGCUCCUCGGUGAGCACCGCGUGCUCCCCCUCCUCCUACCCCUCCAUAUCUAGCGCCGUAGAACUCUGCCCGUGCCGGGUUGCGCCUCGAAUGAACGCGUUGCCCCGCUCCCGGCCGCCCCUGUUAGCCCCGGCCCCGAGCCGCUCGCACCGUCCGCCCGCGAUGGCCUCGCCGUCGUCAGCCCCGCCGUCGCCCUGCUCGCCGUUUGCCGUUGCUGGUGUUGCUCCCGCCGAUAGUCACUGCUGCUGUUGCUACCGCGCACGGCCGCCGCAGCCACGCCCGAGCGCCAUGGCCGCCCCUGGCCUCGCCUCCAAGUGCCGCAUGCCGCACCCGCGGCUGCAGCCGCCCGCAGCGUUGCUGCUGCUCCACCGCAGCCCCGCGACGCCGCUGCCCCCUGCAGGUCGCCACAUCUCGCUGCAGCCGCCGCCUUGCCGUAGCUCCCCGCCCGUGACCUGCCUAGCGUCGUUGUUGUCUGCUGCUCUGCUACUGCUUGCCGCUGCUAUUUUCUGCUAGUUGCUGCUGCCCGUAGUUGCCUUGCUGCUGGUAAUUACUAUAGGUAUGGUUAGCUUUAUGAAUUUUACAUUGAGUAACCCCCUUGGCAGCCUAUAAUCAGCAGUUAAACAACUGCUAACAGGGGUAAAGAUAAUAUGAGUAGGUAGUCUACUUGACAAACUCCAUUUUACCUCACUAGACCAAAUCCAUCUGAUGAAUAGAUUAAAUCCUACAAAAAUCACAAAAUGACAUCUUAUGUUAAUAACUCCUAGCCUACUAACUUGUGUGUCCUGUGUGUGUGCGUCGUGCACGUGGCCGGAGUAGUGGCCGGCCCUUGCUUAGACUAUUAGGUGUUAAUUAAUGGCUAGAAUUGUCUAUGUACAGAUGACAUGUGGCCUCUUAUUUUUAAAAGCCUAGUUAAUAGUGUGUGCCAAUGACAAGUAGGGCCCGGUGCACUGUUUAUUGGUUGACUAGUAAGGUGUUGACUGAGUCAACCCAGCUCCUUGACACCACAUGUCAUUGAGUGUGACUAGUCCCCUGUUGCGUUAAAAAAACAUUUCACUGUUUAUAAUUUGAAUUAAAAAAAUUAAAAAAAUCCUUUAAACUUUAGAAAUUAAUAUAAAAUAAUCCGUUGCUCGGAUGAAAAAGUUUUCUACAUGAAAGUUGCUCAGAAUUUCGAGACGAAUUCAAAUACGCAGUCCGUUCGUUUGCCACACGUCUCUAGCAUAGCAAACCUGCAAGCUUUCCCUUUCGGUUCAUCUGUCUGACUCACGUCCGGGACCGAGAAAACUUUCCCGGAUGUUUCUCCCUUCGCCAGUAAAGCCUAGCACUGUGUUAGAACACCUCUAGCCCCGCUUGUAAUCACGUUGUGCAUAUGUUUGCCUGUAUUUACUGUUUCUUCCCCCUCUUCUCUCAGGUAGACCCCGAGACCGCUGCUGAUGCCCCUGUGAUCGACUACGUCGACGACGACCCUUCUUCUGUUUCAGCGGAGCUUCCACGCAAGCCCCCCCUUUGAUCAUCCCAAUAUCGCCCAUUCUAUACUCUCAUGCUUGCAUUAGAUUUUGCUACUGAUAUUGUUUGCUCCUAUUCUAAUGCAUAGCCUGCUUUUGUACCUUCUUAUUGUUACCUACCUGUUUAUCCUAAACUGCUUAGUAUAGAUUGGUUAGUGAUCCAUCAGUGACCCCCACUUGUCCUUGUUGCCCCUGCUUCAUCAUCGACGCCUCGAUCAGCGUGAUCGACGACGAGAGCCUGACACCUCACAUCACAUCACGCCCUUUUAGUUGCUCGACUCUGCAGAGCUACUAUUGAGUGCCGAGGGUGAUCCCUCUUAAACGCACUCCUGAUGUUAAUUCUGUAUUGUAGCUAUUCGGUGUGGUCAUCGACGGUGGUUCCUCUUUCACCAUUCCCGAUAUGGCUCUGUCGUGCAACACCUCAAGUGUGAACCUCGAGGGUGGUUCCUCUUACAUUCACCUUGAUGAUUACAUCGAGUGGAAUCCUCCGAGGGUGAUUCCUUGGGUUUUCCCCUUGAUGUCUGGACGCACAGUUACCUUGAAUUUACUAGAGACCAUUGUGAAAGCCGAGCGGGCCCGGGGAGCACCCGUGCGAUGUGACAGUGGCGGCUGGCUGUUUAGCGAUAUCACCCGGGAGGGGGUGAUAGCUCCAGACUUGUCCCGACAGCCGUCACUCC